rnacentral:rRNA from 2 species
CCUACGGGAGGCAGCAGUAGGGAAUCUUCCACAAUGGGCGAAAGCCUGAUGGAGCAACGCCGCGUGUGUGAUGAAGGGUUUCGGCUCGUAAAACACUGUUGUAAGAGAAGAAUGACAUUGAGAGUAACUGUUCAAUGUGUGACGGUAUCUUACCAGAAAGGAACGGCUAAAUACGUGCCAGCAGCCGCGGUAAU